rnacentral:lncRNA from 1 species
AUGGAGACGAGGCAGUGGCAGCGGAAACGGCAGCAACCACCAAAUAACAUUAUAAUUCAAUAAAAAACCCUUCGACCUGGAGAAGACCGGACACCUGAGACUGAGGCCCAAUGCAGUGGAAGAACGGGUGAAUAAUGGUAAUGGAGCUGUGCUGAGAUUUCGUUACCGGAUUGGUGCAAUUGGACUGGGCAUGCAGCCGGCUUGUCUGCAGCGACUACAAAUUGUUGUUAUUGCUGCCGAAGCUGGUCAGCAAUUGUAGAAAUCAUCAAGGUGUGCAACAUGUAAUUUACAUCGAUGAUAGAGCUGGGGACAGGUUAGGGGAGGGGGAGAGAAG